AUGGAACCUAACGGCCAGUUGAAUGAACCACCAAGUCCUAUCAGGCCUAGAACUGCACCAAUUCCCAAGAAACGGGGAUCCUUAAUUUUGAUGCCGAUAUCACUAUGUUUGCUGACCGGAGGUUAUAGUUUUAAAUGUCACGUGAACCAUGAGAUUGGCUUGAUUGGUCAAAGCUGUAAUUCUGAAUUGGUGUGCAAUCCAUGGAGCAUGGUCCCUUCCAAGCUAGACCACAGUUUUGACACACAUUGUUUUUCCAUGUCAUCUGGCGAUGAAAUUUCUGAUGUAUUACAAGUUGAACUAUUGUCAGUAGUGGAUUUGUGCAACAAGGAGAAUUUAUAUUGGACUCGCAACACUCAAUAUAUAACUGAUCACAUAGUCCAUUGUCCCAGUUCAGCCUAUUGCACAAAGGAAUGGUGUCUAGGAGUUAACAAUAAUACCACCAUCCCUGAUAUUCCUGAGAUAUCCACCAGUUAUCAUCAGAUUUGCCUACUGGGAGAUGCCUGUUGGCUGGAUGGUUGUCUAUUUUGCAGCCAAUCAUGCCAUGUGAUACGCACUCGACCUAAAGCUUCUGACCCUCUCAUAUAUGAGACCUUUAGUUGCAGAUCAUAUCAGAGGAUAGCUACAAUUAGGCACAGAUUGGGUGACGGAGAAUGGACUACUCUUAAAAUAAACCCUGGACAGUUCAUCUUGUUGGGAGAAGAUUUUGGUUUGGAUAGUGACAUUGAACCACCACCUAUUUAUUCCAAAGAGACUUAUUUAACAGGUGGAAACAUAAUCGCACCAUUUCCAAUAUCUCCUUUAGGAAUGCCGACAUCAGGGUGGGUAGGUGACUUGCAGUGUGAUACUAAGAGUGAUGCUGUCUCAUUGCAAUGUCUCAUGGCCUCGAAUGUAUGCACAUGCUUACCGAAAGACAAUGACGAUCAAUGCUAUUGUCAGAUGACUGAUCUCAGUAAAGUGUUGAAACACGGUCAGAAUUAUUCAAUUCAAACCAGUAGCUCAGGUAUGCCUGAAUUUGAUGUUGAUCCAUUUGGGAAGAUUAAAUUGACCCUCAAGUCAAAGAAGGUGAUUGAGCCUAUAACUCUUGGGAGAGGGAAGUGCUUGUUCAAUCAAAUCAGGUCGAGUGGUUGCGCAAAUUGUGAAAUUUCACCCGAACUGGAAUACAGCUGCAAAUCGGUGAACCCACAAACAGUUGCUUUAAUAUGUGGGGACGGAUUUUCACCUAUUUUGUGUGAUAACGAAAACAUCACUAGAAUCACUACAUUUGAAACAUCCGAGUCCAACGCUGACAAGACAUGUCAUCUAAUCUACCAGCCAGAAGAAGUGCGGAUCAGUGGAGAGUUGUACACUGCCCAUGGUAGCUCAUUUGUCAGAGAAGAGUCAUCAAAUUAUCAGUCUGAGACGGCACUUGCUCUCUUCAACUCGUGGUCAGAUCCCUUCUUCUUUAAAGUGAACUUAACUGCACUUGCUCUGUAUGUAGGAUGCCCUACACUGAAAAAACGAGAUUAG
rnacentral:lncRNA from 1 species